rnacentral:rRNA from 1 species
UACGUAGGGGGCAAGCGUUGUCCGGAUUUAUUGGGCGUAAAGAGCGUGUAGGCGGCCAGACAGGUCAGCUGUGAAAACUCGAGGCUCAACCUCGAGACGUCGGUUGAAACCGUCUGGCUAGAGUCCGGAAGAGGAGAGUGGAAUUCCCGGUGUAGCGGUGAAAUGCGUAGAUAUCGGGAGGAACAUCAGUGGCGAAGGCGGCUACCUGGCCCAAUACUGACACUCAGGUGCGACAGCGUGGGGAGCAAACAGG